AUGCUCUUGCCCACCUUGGUAGGGGUGUGGAGGCAGAUCACCUGGUGGCUGACCACGAACCUAUGCACCUGCACCUGGUGCCACUGAGCGGGGAACCCUGCUGUGGUGCAGAGUCCAGGCUGGGGGCAGGUUGGGGCAGAGUGAGCUCGAGGCACGCGGGGUUGUUGAGGAGGUCGGUGAGCCCCAUUCCUGAGAGGCUUGCCAACGGGAGACAGGAGAUGCUGUGACCCUGGAAGGGGCGUUGAAGAUGCGCCGGUGUGGGUGCUGAUGGCUGCAAGGCUGCGUGCCACGGCUGCUCGGGGCCCCUGGACCACAGCACCCCUGGAGGCAGAGCUGGCACCUCCCUGCCUCCCUGCCUCCCUGCUUCCGCAUUCCAGUGCCUGGGGCUGACAAUGACAGGAUGACCAGAGCUGGUUCUUGUGCUUCUAGUGAUGUGUUGUUUCCAUUUGUGUGUCUGACUCUCGCACACAGUCUUGGUCAACCAGCUGCUUCAUGUCUCUCCCCUUCCAGGGGUACCCUCUCCCUCACUGACCUGCCUAGAAGACCUCCUCCUUCCAGGCCCGGCUCAGAGGGGAGCAGGUGCAGAGGUCUUUCCUCCGCCCCACAGCCUGGUAGCCCUCGCUUCCUUCUCUGUGCACACCUGCCUUCCCAACAGGCCGUUUCCCCUGCGUCGGCAGCUGGGUGUAGCGCACCAGGCUUGGUACACAGGAUAAGUGCUGAGCAAAUGUUGAGGGAAUGAAUCAACACUCAGCGCUGAGGGGCGGCCCGGGUCUGGACGCACAGACACAUGUUAGUAAGAGACGCACGCAGGUAUCUUCAUCCAGGUGUUCGACAACGCAUUUCUGUAGCCAAGGGACCAGCUGCAGCUCUGCAAUGCUUCGCCUUCCGUCAGGGAAGCUUGGGGCAAGGAGGGAGCCAGGGUUUGAGGCUUGGCUCCCGUACCUGUUAGGUGGGUCGUGACUCUCGGCCGGUCAGUCACACUGGCUCCUGAAACCUCAGGAUUUGAUCUGUUAGAAAAGAAAAGGAAUAGUAGUUGUGUAUCUAAGGGUUGUUGUGUGAAGCCAAGACAGCCCCUAGAAGUGUGCUUUGGGGUCCUAAAGGGCCAUCAACAAUGUCACACCCCCUCUGUGGAUCGCUGCUCCCUGGAUUCCAGCCCUUUGCUUGUGGGGUCCCAGCAGUAGCACCCCGACACCUCCCUGCUGGACGUUUCAUGUCGUGGGGGCUCUAGAGCACAGCCCCUUUGGCAGCACCCCUGACUGCCGUACCACCAGGGACAGGCAGCCCUUCACCCUCACCCCUUACCCCUCACCAGCUGUGGUAACUGGAAUGUCCCCAGUUAUUGGCAGAGGUCCCCGGGGGCUGGGGGACAGAGUCCCCCUGGGGAGGACUCCUGCCUGUACCGCCUUCCUUCUCACAUUCAUCGGCAGUUUCCCAAGGCAGGUCUUGUCUUCAGUCCUGGUUUGCAGAGGGGGUAGUUGAGGUGCAGGGAGGUGAGUGUCCCAGCAACAUGCUUGCAGAGAGCUUCUGAGAAAAGACAUGCCUCCCGAGCGCACGCCCACGGAUGCAGGAGAGAGAGGUGGAGGAGUUGAGGAGAGCGCUGCUCUGCUGAGCCUGGGAGACCGCAGGGCUCACCUGUGCCGUCCCCUCUCAGACCUGAGUCUCCUCAUCCGUGCUGGGGAGAGGCGGAACAGUCUUGGAGUCCUCUCUGCCAGUGGCAUUCCUGGCCGCCCGCACUCCUCACUUCUUUAUGUGCCGUCUGCAUGGUGCAGAUUGUGUGUGUCCUGGUGAGUCACGAUCCUGGCUCUAUGGAGCUGGGAACCCCAGAGUGUGGAGGUGGAGCAGGGCCGGCCAGUGUCCUCACUCUGCAGGUGGGCACAGUGAGAGGCACAGAACUGGGAGGAGUUUCCCACAGUCCUGCAGCAACAUGGCAUCAGACGCAAGACACAGGCUUUCAGUGUCUUUUCUUUUUUAACAAUUUAUUUAUUUGAGAGGCGGAGUUACAGAGAGAGGGAGAGACAGAGGUCUUCCAUCUGCUGGUUUACUCCCCAAACGGCUGCAAUGGCCUCAGCUGGACAGAUCCGAAGCCAGGAGCCAGGAGCUUCUUCCAGCUCUCCCAUGUGGGUGCAGGGGCCCAAGCACAUGGGCCAUCCUCCACUGGUUUCCUAGGCCACAGCAGAGAGCCGGAUCAGAAGAGGAGCAGCUGGGACACGAGGCAGCAUCCAUAAGGGAUGCUAGCAUUGCAGGCUGAGGCUUAGCCCACCACGCCACAGCGCAGGCUCCCUCAGCGACUUUGGAGUGCACCGCCCACUCCUGAGGAUGCUGCAGCCUGGCUCGAAGGGGUUCUCCCAGGGCCCCUCCUUCCACUCUCCCUCUGCCCACUGCAGCAGAAGCAACCUGGAGCUGAGCGCUAGACAGAGAGAGACCCGGCAGGGAGACCACCGGCCACCUGCUCCCUCCGCUCACGCCUCUUGGGUUUUCCUUUUCAGUCGGUAUUUUAUUAUUUAUUCAGCACUACUUAAGACAUUGAGAAGAUUGAGAACUUCCCUGCAGCCCAGACUAAGAAUUUCAAUUAAAUUUACCUGCGUCUAUCCCCUCUCAUUUUCUAGUUCCACCUGAGUAGUCAGGAAAACACACUAGAUGGAGUUUUAAAAAUUAAAGUGAACACACAGGGUGUUAAGCCUGGAGAGCAGCAGUCAUUUUGAAUUGUGUGGUAACCCCUGGCAGUAGCUCCAGACCUCACACUCGUGUCGACAAACCGCUGUUAGUCAAAACCAAUCUCUAGCUCGAGCUGCACGUCCGAUUACUAACCCGGACAACAAAGCAAGCUCCCCUCGAACGCCGGAGAGCGUCGCAGAGGUCCUGGGACAGCUGCGGAAGACAGCUUGCCGACUGGCAGGAGCAAAUCCAGAUGCAGCAGGGACCAGACAUUCCACAGUGCCAGGCCGCCGCGCCGUGUGGCGUCGUGUCUCCCCGCCUCCACCACGGUCACGCCUUCCCCUGAUGGAGGUGUGUGUGGGGGGCCUUCAUAAAACCAGCCCAAGCCCCAGGUACAUGGAGCUUCCACAUUUUCCCCCAAGCACGUAAAAACGUGUUUGAAAUGCUCGCGUACAGCUGCCCACGGGAAGACCGCGCAGGCUGGCAGCGGAGCGCGGAGGGCCCACUUGCCUUCGGCUUAGGGUGGAAGUUGUUCCUUUCGCAGCACCCUCCAGGGGGCGCUCUUGCGCUCUCACUGACAGCCGCCUCGGGGAGCUAGCGGAACAGCGUUCCCGAAAGCCGCAGGGAGGGCCCCGCGCAAAACCUGGUCCAGCGCGGUGCCGCCGCCACCAAGCGAGGUGUCCCGGGGGAGCCCCGCGCCUGCUCCUGCCCAAGUUUGCGGGCCACCCCAAAGCAGCGUCCGCUCCUCAUCUGAUUCGCUGGGACACCCCUGCAGUGCCUAGGGGGAGGGAGGGUGCCUGGGGCCUAGCGCGCGGCAAGACCUAGACACGCCCUUGUGGAUGGACCUCUGUCCGCUGUCGGCGGGCUGCGCACCACAGCGCCCGGCAGAGGGCAGUGGCUGCACACUGAGGACCCAGCAGCGGUCAACGGUACAGCUGCGGCUGCCCACGAAGGACCUGGGUGGGCACCCCUAUCCUGCCGUGUGCGCCAGGGCUACCACCAAGCACCAAGGGCUGGAAUGGACUGCGGCGUGGCUGCGCUACACCCGUGGACCUGGGCAGGUGUUUUCUCCUGUGGACUGACUGAGGGCAAGGCCCGCCGCGGACGUGUUUGUGCUGGAGGAUCCAGCGGGUGUCCUACAUCCUGGUGGCGGUGCAGCUGCGGCUGCGCACCGCGGACCUGGGCGGGGACUGGAACCCAGCUGUGUGCGUCACAGCUGCAGCAGGGCCAUAAGACGCAGGCGGCGGUUUCCACCCCUCAGACUGCGGCACGGCUGUAGCCGAGAGCUGAGGACCUUCUCUGGCGCUGGUGCCCGGCCGGCUGUGCAGGGCGAACCUGCGCCGGCUUCGUACCCCGGGAACUUACGCACGGUGGUGGCACGACACCCAGGAUCUGGGAGGCCGAUUUUGCCCUGUAGGUUGCGGUGUGGCGGGGCUCGGGGCGGGCGUUUUGCGCUGUGGAUUACGGCACCAAUCGUUCUGGCAGAUGUUUGCACCCCGCGGAUCACGGCUCUGCUAGGACCCGGGAGCAGGUGUUGACGCCACGGAUUGCGGUACCGCCAGGACCCAGGUGGAUGUGUCUACGCCGUCUAUCUGCCUGUGUUUACGCCUCGGCUCGCCGCACAGCCAGGACCCAGGUCUAGGUGUUUACGCCGCGGAUCGCAGCACGGCCAGGACCCGGGUGGACGUGCUUACGCCGCGGAUCGCCUCUAGGACCCCGGUGGACGUGUUUACGCAGCAACGCGGUCUAGCUGUUUACAUGGCAGCUCGCGGUUCAGCUAGGACCCGGGUCUAGGUGUUUACACAGUGGAUCGCAGCACGGCCAGGACCCAGGUGGACGUGUUUACGCCGUGACUCGCGAAUCGGCCUCGGACCAGGGUCUAGCUGUUUAAGCCGCGGCUCGCGGCUCGGCUAGAAUCCGGUUAUUGGUGUUUACGCCGUGGAUCGCGGCACGGUCAGGUCCCGGGUGGACGCAUUUAUGCCGCGGAUCGCCGCUUAACUAGGACCCGGGUUGACGUGUUUAUGCCGCGGAUCGCCGUUUAACUAGGACUCGAGUGGACGUGUUUACGCUGCGGAUUGCCGCUUAGCUAGGACCCGAGUGGACGUGUCUACGCCUAGGGUUGCCGCUUAACUAGGACCUGAGUAGACGCGUUUACGCCGCGGAUCGCGGCACGGCCAGGAGCUGGGUGUAGGUGUUUACUCCGCGGGUCACCGCUUCGCUGGGACUAAGUCGCCGCACAGCAGGACCCAGCGGGGAGUCUUUGUCCUGCGGACUGCAGCUCAGCUCGCCAGCGCCUCCAGCACAAGGUUUUAGCGUGCGGAGGCUGGCAUGGCGAGGACCUGGCGAUCCUUUUUACUCCGUGGAUUGCGGCACGGGGAGGACUUGGGCGGGCGUUGUCACUCCGUGGAUGGCGGCGCGGCAAGGAUCUGGGUGGGCGUCUUCACCCUGCGAAUCGUGGCGCGGCGGGGACGCGGCGGGCGUCGCUACGCCGAGGAUUACAGCACGGCCCGGACCUGGGCGGACCUCCUCAUUUUACGCAUUGCGGCUUGGCUCGCACCUGGGCGGAUUUUGUCUUACAGAUUGCAGCAGGCGGGGCAGCAGCGGCGCGCAGGGGCCCCGGGCGAACGCGUCCAUGCUCCGGAGUGCCGCACGGACAGGAGCCGGAAGGGCGUCUUCACCCUGUGGGUUGUGGCGCGACUGGGGCCGGGGCGCGUGUCCCUACCGUGUGGACUGCGGCGUGUCUACAGCCGUGCGCCGAGGACCUGGGUGGGCAUUUUGCCGCUGCGAGCGGCAGCGCGGCGGGGGCCUGGGCGUCUGUGUUUGCUCCGCAGACCGCAUCGUGACUAGGACCUGGGCUCGCGUCCUUGCUCCGCUCACUGCGUCAUGGCGCAGCCACGCAGCGGGAUCCUGGGCCUCCUUAACUUCCCCUGCCCCCUGUGGCCUGACCAAGGACGGUUUCCACCCCGAGAACUGCGGAAGGAGGAUGCAGGUGGUGGCUCGGCUGAACUUGCACGGACGCCUGCCCUGGGGGUGGCGGCGUGGCUCCGACUUGGGCGGGCGUCCUUCCUCUGGGGACUGCUUUGUGGGCGCAGCUGCAUACCAGGGACCACCUGGAGUUGCCGCCCCGACCAUGGUCUGUGUGGAUGAUUUUACUCUGUGAAUUCCGGGCCGGCUAGGAUCUCGUGGGCCAUUGUUAUCCUGCGGAUUGCGCAAGGCUAUGGUCUAGGCGGGCAAUUCUACGCAGAGAUUUGGGUUCUGGCUGGGAUCUGGGCGGGAGACUUCUGCCCCGGAUUGCCCCGCUGUUGGGACCUGGCAGGCCGUUUUCCUUUGUGGAUUGCAGCGGCCUAGGGUCUUCACGUCGGCGUGGAUUUCGGCGCGGCCAGGGCCUGGCAGGGCAUUUGACUCCAUGGGCCGCAGAUUUCACACCGUGGAUUUCUGCACGGCUGAGAUCUGGACGGUCGGCUUUGCUCCAUGGAUGGGGCCCAGCUAGGGCCAGGGCGGGUGCUGGUACUCCAAGAAUUUCAGCCUGCCUAGGGCUGGGCGGAGUCUCCACUCCAUCUAUGUUUUUACUCUGUGUAUUGCAGCAUGGUUAGUGGGACUUUUUUUUUUUUUUUAAAGAUUUAUUUGAAAGAAAAGAUGACAGAGCGAAAAAGAUCUUCCAUCUGCUGAUUCGCUCCCCAGAUGGUGGCAGCGGCCAGGUCUGGAUCAGACCAAAGCCAGGCGCCAGGCACUCAUCUUGGUCUCCCCGUGGGCGGCAGGGCCAGGCACUCAUCUUCCUGCCUUCCCAGGCGCGUGAGCAGGGAGCUGGAUUGCGCUCCAGCUGGCGAGGAGAUUUAACCGGCUGUGCCACAAGGCCCCCCGGCAGGCAUUUGUUCCCGAUGGGUAGCCGCUCGACCAAAACUUGGCAUUUUUACCCCAGGAUCUGGAUUUGUGUUCUCACUGCGGGAAUUACAACACAGCUAGGACCUGUGUCCUAAGCUGUGGGCGGCAGGUUUUUGGUUUUUUGUUUGUUUGUUUGUUUUCCCUGUGGAUUGCAGCACAGCCUGGCUCUGGGCAGGGAUUUUUCCUCUGGAUUACAGCUUGGCUAGGAUCUGGGAGAGUGUUCUUGCUCUGUGGAUUAUACAGCUCAGACAGGAUCUGGGCAGGAGUUGUUACUUACUCCAUGGAUUGCAGCACAGCCACGCUCUGGGUCAGGAAUUCUACUCUGGAUUGCGGCACGGCUAGGACCAGGGUGAGCAGUAGUACUCUGUGGAUUACAACAUGGCUAGGACCUGGGAGGACGUUUUUAACCCUGUGGAUGAUGGCGUGGAAGGACCUGGGCCCAUGUACUUGCCCUGGAUUUUGACCUGGCUAGAACCUAGGCAUGUGUUUCGCCCUGUGGAUUUCCACGUGGUUGGAACCUGGGUCAGCAUUUGUUGUGGAUUGUGGCAUGGCUAGUAUCUGGGCUGCUGUCCUGGUGACCACAGUGUGGCCACGGCCCUGCACUGAGGACCUGGAUGGUGUUCUUACCCUGUGGCCUGCACUAUGGCUCAGAUCUGGGGGCCUCCUUACCCUGUAGACUGUGGCACAGACAGAGGACCUGGAGCAGGGGCAAGAGUUUUUACCCUGAGAACUGGCCAGGGGAGGAUUCCAGUGUGCCUCCUGACCUGCAGAUGCUGGUACAGCUGUGGCCCUGCCAGGGCAGCCAGGGCACAACUACUCUGCCCGUGGAGGAGGACCUGGUGGGCAUGCCUGUCCUGCUGCCUGUGACAGUCUCCCACCAAGCAGAGACCCAGAUGGGCGUCCUCCCUCUGCGGAUGGUGGCAUGGUGCCAGCCACACACAGGACCUGUGCAGGUCUCCAGCCACCUUGCCGAUGGCCACCAGUCCACAGCUGCAUGGCAGGGACCUAGGCCGAAGCCCCUCCUGCCAGCUGCCCUUCUGGCACUCACCAGGAACCUGGGCAGGUCUUUUCCUGUGGAGUGCAAAUGGCUCCCUGCUGCACACACCGCGGGCCGAGCCGGCUCGCUCACCUCAUUUUGAAACAAGUCCUGGGCCCUUGCUGUGGGUGGAGCUGAAGGACACCCCCCCCCCGACUUUUAUUGGGGUGGUGUCAUCCCAGGUCCUGCUGGGCCCCUGCUCGCUCCGUGAUCGUAUGCAUGUUUGCAGCGGUCAGCACCGGAUGAGGAGAAUCUGCGCUUUGCCUUCGCUCGCCGUCCUGGGAGCAGUGCUUCUACUUGGUGGCCCAGGCGUCCCACACUUGAGCACACGGAUUGCCGGCCGCACAGUUGCUCUGCAGUUUCCCCCAUCUUUGCCGAUGGCAACUCCAUCCCUCCAGUUGUUCAGGCCAGAAAUUUUGGAGUCGUUCUCAGCUUUUUUGUUUAAACUUCAUACCCAUACCCAGUCUUCUAGUGAAUUCUUUUUAUUUUUGUCUCUAAGACAUACUCCAAACCCAGCUACUUCUCAUCUGCUUCACUGUUCCUGGCCACUGCUAGGCGCACUUGGAUCCUUGCAGUAAUUUCCUAAGAACUUGAGUGUUUGGGGCUUUUCUCCCUGCGGUUGUUCUGUUGUCAGCGCAGCAGCCAGGGUGACCCCGUUAGCGCUCGGCAGAGGUCCCCUAGCUGCCUGGAGUGAAAUCUGAAAUUCUUGCCGGUGCCUGAAGGCGCUCCUCACCCACCUCCCCGCCUCCUCCAGUUUUCCUCUCUCCUGUCUGGCACUCGGCGCAGGUGCGCCAGUGGAGCAUGUUGGGGGAGCAGGCCUGUGGGAACACUUGCACUUCACCGUCUGCAGAGGCUCUUGCCUCUUCCUGAGGUGCUGGGGACCUGUAUCUCCACAAGGAUGGCUUCCUCCCCUCCUCAGGUCCCUGCUAACCUCUAAAAUUCUGAGUACGCGUGCCCCACUUAACAUGGCAGCCCAUCCUCCUCUCUCCUGGCACCUCCUUCGCAGCUCCUGUUUUCCUCUACUUUUUUUUUCUUCCAAAGCACUUCUCAUUUUGUAACAUACUGCAUGGAGGUACUUCAAAAGGUUUGUGGAAACAUGGAAUUAAAAGAUCAAAAUGAAGACCUUAUUUCUGCACACAGCUCAAGACUCUUUUGCUAAGUGAUGACUCCAGCCACUGAGUCCAUCUCCAAAGAGCUGAGGGCCCUGGGAAUUUAGCCACGUCUGUGUGGUCCAUUUUACGUCAUAAACCAAAGAGAAAUGGGUGCCCUUUAAAGAUGUUUUAAGGCUGGGAAACAGAAGUCCGAAGGAGCCAUGUCAGGACUGUAAGUGGAUUUACCUGAUUCACUUUCCCAGCAGAAGCUCAGAAGAGUCACCUGGGUCAGGCUCGAGGCAUGGGCAGAGCGUCGUCGUGGUGGAGAAGGACCCUGGGGACACUGUCCUGGAAGGUGUUCCGCUGGAGCCGGGCUCACCUCCUCGAGACCCUCUCCCAACAGCAGUCCUCCAGGAAGUCAGCGAGCACCGUGCCUUGGGCGUCCCCCAAAGCUGCUGCCUGACGUUUGCCCUGGGCUGGACCGCGUCUGCCCCCGGUAGCUGCUGUUGGAUUGUGCUGUGUCUUCAGCGUUGCCCUGGGAGAGCCGCGUGCCUGCCCUGCUCCAGUUCUUGGAAGCAGCGCUUCGGGACCGGAUCCCAGCUGUUGACGGCUUCCUCAGGGAAGCGUCUGCAGACGGUCUGGGCGCAGCCGCUGUGGCACCGUGAAGCAGCUUUCGUUUUGCCGUCAGAAUUGGGUGAGCUGGGCCACCCGAGAUGUCUGUGGUGUUGCCGUUUCUCCUGCCGAUCACCGGUCCUCUUCAGCGAGCGCGUGGGUGAGGUUGAUGUUCCCUCCCAAGCCCGUGAGGAUGGUCCACUCCGUCCUCGGCGACGCCCAGCUGUUCCUGAAAGGAGUUAAUCUGCUUGCAGCCUGCUGACUGCUCUGGGGGACACUGUUCCCACAAACUGCGCGUCACGCGUCGCCGAUCUCACCGUUCUCCCACCCAAGCUUCCCCGCCACACUGAUGUGUGUUCGUGCUUUAAUUCUAGCAGGAUUUGUGUUGCUCUGUGGGACUCUCAGACUGAUGGCUUCUCCUUCUUAGUGCCUUACGGUGUACCUGUUCAGGCAUGUAACGUGCUCGUGUGAGUUGAUCUUGAUGCAAGAACGUUCUGUGACGCAUACGUUGUUUUUCAUGACACGCAUUUCCACGAAUUCCUGAAGCCCCCUUGUGUUCCUAAUCAUUAUGUCUUUGUUGUUGUUGUUUUUCUGCCCUUACAGAGGUAAGUUUGUUGUUUUAUUUAUGGGUAUAUUCCAAGUGCUAGGCAUGUUAUACUCGUCAAUAAAAUUUAGAAAAAUCUCACUGGGGAAUGUGAGGUUCGUGUUCUGGUGGAUUUUCCACGGCACACGGCGCAGUAAGGGUCCGUUGGGUUCUGUUAGAAGGCCUGAAGGUAAUGCUGAGCUUACAGGGAGCGGACCACUUUCUCCCGUCUCUCCUGCACUUCCUCUUUCUCAUUCCCCUUCUCUGUGGGAGCUGUUGCUUGAUGAAGACACAGCUAUUAGGUCGUGGACCUGUGUCGGAACUAGAGACGGCCAUCGCAUUUCCAGUCUCCCAUGUCGCCACUGGAAGAGCCGUGCUCUAGUGGCCCUCGAUUGGCUGGUGUCUGCCCCAGCCCAGAGAAGGUCCCCUCGCUGUUCAUUUAGCGUCUCCCUGAUGCGGGUUACGGAAACUGUCACUGAGACCAGCUCUUGUGCUCACCUGCGUUUGCUCUCAGGCAUGGCUGGCUGUGGGGUUGAAGAUGGGCAUCAGUCUCUGGUCAGGUGGCUACAGGCGGACUGUGUCUCAGAUGCUCAAAUCUCAGAGUAGCUUGGCUCCUGGGGCAGGCACACAGCAGCUUGGAGACUCCGUGGUGUUCUGGCAUGGCCACCAGAUUUGGUUUCCGGGACUCCAUUCCCAUGAGUUGUUUUGUGUGGUCACUGUUUGAAUGAAGCGUUCGGGGCUGGGCCUCGGUUGGUGGUCAGCAGCCAUGCUUGGGGGUGCCUGGUACAAGGAAGAAGGCGACUAGCUGUGAUCUCAUCUUGGCGCCAAGCUAACCAGCUCCUUAGUGGUAGCCCUGUCUCGGGAGCGAGGGACCUGAGAUCCAGGAACCGAAGCAAGCUGCCCAGCCGCACGCUGCAGCAGCGGGAGAGCUGGCCUUGUCCGUGCUACUUCACGGGCAGCCCCUGCCAGACCCCAUGCUGGAGCAUAGAGGACAUGGGCUUGGUGGCCGUGCCCUCGCCCUGCUGGGGCACUCGUGGAGUGAGGGCUGCCACAGCGCCCGGCUGGCCAGCAGCUGAGAGCACGGUGUUAGUCCUUCCAGACUGCUCCUUGGACCGUGCUAGACCCCAGUGUGGUGGUGCAAGCCGUGAGGAGGCUCUGCUUUGAGGUACAGCAUGACGGUGUGUGGCCUCCGUAGCCAUCCUGACCUCACGUCUCUGCUGCUGCCCUCACUGGUUGGCUGAUGUGUUGUGGAGUUCCCUUUUGUGCAUGGUGGGCAGUCAGGGACUGGGCUGGAGGGGGCUGUGGGUGGGGCUCCCUGCAGGUACUGCUCCCACCACAGGUUGGGCAGUUGUGAGCUCAGAGUGGCAGGUGGGGUGAGAGAGCUGGUGCCCCAGGCUGUGCCUGGUGCAGAGAGAGAGAGCGCGCUAGCUAGCAUACUGCCCAGCAGUCAGUGGAGAGAAGCCUCUCUGAGGCGGGGCUCCGUGUGGGGCCCCUCCAGGAUGACCAGUGCUUCUGUGCGGGCACUCUCUGUGCUUCAUGACCAGGGCGGUCUUGGAAGGGAAGCACAGCCAGCUGGGAGGACUGCGGGAUGCUGACUGUGGCUGUGCUGCCCCUGGUGACCCCUGGGAGUCACUGGCAAGUGAGUCUGGCCCAGGAGGGGUUGGGCUUGACCUCCACGUCGUGUCCAGCAGCUUAGUGUUUCUGCCAGCAGCCUUCCCUCCAGGUGUUGGACGUCGAGAGCUUGUCCUUCAGGCACUGCUGUGCUGGACACCCCCUUCUUCCCAAGACUGGUGGUCAGCCUGAUGGCCCCAGGGGUGGUUCCCACACAGGGCCCCCCUCCAGGGAGCAGAGACCUGGAGGCCCUGCCAGGACGUGUUGAUAAGAACAAGUUGCUGAUUGCAGAGUUUGGAGGUGCUCAGCUUGCUGAGAUCGGUGGGUGUUAAGGGUCAGUUAGCGUACAGGGCACUUUGAAAGCUUUCCUAACUUUGGCUAUGAAAGCAGUGGUUACUGAGCAGAUACAGUGUACCGAGUGCUUCAUGUGCCCUUCUUCCUUUGAUCUCAGCCAAGUCUCGGGUGCCGGCUCUAAAGCUGGUCUCGGAGCCCGUGCCCUGUGUGUUCUUGAUGAGAACACAGGCAGUGGGUGCAGGAGUAAGUCCAUGAGCCAUCGUUUGUUCUCGUAGGGGAUCGAGUCGUGCCAGGCUCUCGCCCCCUCAUUCCUGCUUCGCAGAGGCAGGACUCUUUGAUGGUCGUGGGGUGGGACACCUCGGGUGAGUCCCAGGUCGGGUUCCUGCACUCCCCAGCUGUGUGAUCUUGGGCACUGAGUUCCUGGUGGCUGCUCUCUGAGCUGUGGCAAAGGAAGUGUUUGUGAAUGCCUGGGAGGUGUCCCGAGGAGGUGGCCAUGGGGAAGGCAGGCAUUCCCUCUGCACAGAGCAGGCAGCUGCAGCCAGGGCUGGCAGUGGACAGUGAUCUGUGGCUGAAUUCUAGAGUGGAUAGCACGUGGGACUGGGUGUGUCUGUGUGUGUGGGGGGGGGGCACAGACCUGCACACGCAAGGCCCUGCAAGGGCUGGGGUUGGCCCCUGUCCAGGGCAGUGGGGGCUCCCCAUAGUGGAGAGAAGACCACUGAGGGGAGCAGUGCUUGGGUGGGAGGAGUUGGUUCAGUCCUGUUAUUUUUGUAACCUACUCGCGGUGGGCAGGGCACUCGCGGUGGGCCAGGCAGCCACUCAGGACUCUUUGAAGCAGACUUCAGAGGCCCUCAUGUCGCAUCUCAGCCGCACUUGUGAACUUCCCACCGGCUUUCAUCUUGACGCUUAUCUCAAUCACCCCGGUUAAUUAUUUCCCUGUCUGCGACUGUACACCAAGGCUGUCCGUCAUCCUCCUGGGCGAACCUCUUUCCGUUGCUCCAGGAAGCACCCUUGGCGGUAGUAUUUUGGUGGUGGGAGAGUAGCUGCCUGUGCACAGGUGAGUAUGAAAGGCCCCGCUCUGUGCAAGCCCAGGGGAAGCCUGGGAGGAGGGCACGCCCAUCCUGCUGGGCUUUGCUUCUUCCCCGAUUGCUGGUGUGCAGUACCUGCCAGGUCCAGUGUGGGGCCCGGGGCCAUCACAGUACAACAGGGGAGUUGGAGGGAAGGCGCAUUCUGCAGGGGGAUGCCAGAUGAGGAAGAGGGAGCCUGGGGCCAAGUGCUGGAUGGGGACAGCAGGCUGCCCGGGCCUGAGUCCAGCUGCCCAGCUUGCAAUCAUGGGACUGGGGACGGACCACCUCACCUCCCUGUGCCUCUGUUUCCUUGGUGAAGGGAAAUGGCCCCUCCCCUGGCAGUGAGCGUCUUAUGACUUGCUCCCGCAGGACCACAGUUCAUUCUCUUUCUCUGAGUGGGCUCCUCUCAGCCCUGCAGGCUGGACAUCAGCCUGUCAGCCUCUACCGGCUCAUUCUCGUGCCCUCAGAGUCACACCAGCCUGGCUCCCCGAGCCUGGUGGGUCCCAGGGAAUCCAUCUGUGCCUGAGGAAGUGGGCUCAGGUGAGCUUGCCGGCCGUCUGUCUCUGUGGGCAGCUUGCUGGGAAAAUGGGCAGGGGACCUCAGAGGAGAGCCGGGGUGCUGGGAGUGCCCAGCUGUUCUCUCUCUCUGUGCACAGGUGGUCUGUGAGCCUUGUCCCAAAGUGGGGCAGGUAUGUGUGAUGGGGUGUGGGGUGGUUUCCAGGACCAGUGGUGAAGUGCUCAGAACUUGGCCCCGCCCACAUGUCCAGUAAGCGGUAUUACUGGGUUAGCUCCAAUCCCCGAUCUUCCUGGUAAACUGGACCAAAUCUCCUGGUGACUCGGCCAGUGGAGCUAAGAUAAUGAGGACGUUUUGGAGAAGCGUCUGCUACUCAUUAUCGGGUGGACAAAUGGAAUUUGCCUGCAGGUCAAGGUUCCCUGCGAGCAGGGACACUCGAGGAGCUGGGUUUCUCAGCCUCAGUUCUGCGCAGGUGUAGCUCUCGGCAGGGGGUCUCGUGCAGAAGCUGCAAUGGAUGGGGGGCCAGGUGCAGAGCUGGGGGACAGGCUGUGCCAUGUGUGAGUGUUGGUGAGGGUGUUUGCAUGUGGUAGGACAGAGUCUGUAUUCAUACGGGAGUGCGCCAGUGGACUUCAGAACCAGCUCGGCGAGCCUGGCUGGACCCUGCCGUGCGCACACCUGCGUGCUGGGUCUGUCCAGCUCUGGGACUCCUGCAGAGACUUCUGCUCGGCUGGGGCGGGGGCAAGGCUGCUGUGCUGAGGGAGGCAGUGCUGCAUCCUUGUGGGGCAGCUCAGGCUGUCGCAGGGAGCAGGCAGGGAGCAGCAUCGAUGGAGCAUGGCUGCUCUUAGCAGAUCCCAGCCCUCCCCACGAAGGACUGCUCUUCCUGGGAAGACAGUAUCCCAGCCCGUGUGGUAGCCCGUGUGCUUGUGCAACCUGCGGGCAUUUAAAGUCUGUCUCGUUUCGCCUCCCAGGAGCUUCUCUGUUUCACUGCAGAGCUGGGUGUGAUCGCAGCCUGCAGCCUGGCGUGAGGCGCACACACCCCACGGCCUGUCUGAACCCCUGCGGGCCCUGGGCUGUCUUCUGAAGGGGAGAAGCUGGUGGCCGGGAGCAGGUGCAGCGCCUGCUCCUGGCCCAGGGAGCAGGUGGCUCUGAGGCCGGCUGAGGUCUGCAGGAGCUUUCUGAGGAGGGCGCGGGGAAGAGAGGCCUUGUCAAGGGAACCUGUGGCUGGAAUGUGCUCCCUGAACGGAGAGGAGGAGCCGCCGUCUCUGUUGCUUCACUUGUUUUACACACAGCUUGUCUAAGGACCAGCCUGAUUUCCACCGCCAAAAUUCAGGCACAGCAGAGUGCAUGAAGAAAGUGCCCCAGAGUCUCCCCCAGAAAGAGUUGUGUCUCGUGCGAGGUGCACCUGCACAGGUGCACGAGUGCAAAGGCUGCAAGAUACAGUGCCACACCACACGCGCUGUUCUCACCAGGACUGUCCAGUUUUAGCCUGCUUGUGUAACAGGGAACAUGAGCGGCAGUGAAAUGUAAGGCAUAUCCAAAAAUGUAAGGCAUUUAUUCCCGUCAACCGCAGUUACACUAAGGUCUCUUUAAGAGGAAGGAAAAGGAUUGUGGAAAACAGGAAGUGGUAGGAUCGCUGGGCUGUGGAUUUCAGUUUGCUUCAGAUUGAUUAAUGUUUCUAUCUAGGUAGCAUUCAUUUACUGAGAUAUAACUCAUGUGAAAUAAAAAACAGACGUGGAGUUCCGGGCUGAUGGAUCCUGACGCCUGUAGUCGUCCGUGCGUUCACCUGUGUGGGUCCCUCAGAAGGCUCCCCUCUGGCCUCCCAGAGAGUUGCAGCUCGCUUCUGCCUGUCCCCAGACCAGAGGCUGUAUGUGCGCUCUCCUGUCUGACUGUUUUUGCUCGACUAAUUAGUUUUUUAUUGUUGUUUUCAGGUCCAUUAUGUCAUUGUAUAUUUCAGUGUUUUUUUCCCUUACUUUGUAUUGCUGAAUUAUUGUGCCGUUGUAAGAAUACACUACAUGCUCAGGCCAACACUUGGAUUCUUCUAGAUGUAGACCCUCAUGAGAAGGCUGCUUUGAAAGCCCUUGGACCAGACUUUCUGUGUGCGCAUGAUUUUCUGUGGGUAUUUAUGUGUUCUUACGUCUGGAAGCCUGGAAGUCGGUUGUGGUUGAGAACGUGUGGCGUCCUGAUGAGUUGGACCGCACUCGGCCUCCAGUCCGUGACCAGGCUGUUUCCCCGUUCCUUGGGUGUGCUUUCCUUUCAGCCGCUGGCAGAGUGCAUCACUCAUCAGAUGGAUUCUUCAGUUUGCUGUUUAGGACCUUGUGGAUUUUUCAAAUGCUUGUUUAUAGGAUUUAGAAGUACAGUACCCUUUGGUAUUUGAUGCCCUUGUAUCCUGUUAUUUUACCAAAUUAACAUAUUACUUCUAGAAAUUUCUUUGGAAGAUUCCAUCGUGUUUUCUACACAUGCAAGUAUAUCACCUAUAGUGAUAAUUUUCCUCCUUUAUUUCUAACAAUUUGUGCCUUUUCAUUUCUUUUUAUUGCCUUAUUGAGGCUAAGGUCUUUAUUUCUUAAAUAUUUAAAAGAAUUUAACUUACAUAAAAUUAUGCAUAUUUAUAGUGUACUAUGUGAUAUUUUGAUACAUGAAUACAUUGUGUAAUAUCCAGAGUAUACAUGUCUAUCCUCUCAAGCAUUUAACAUGUUGAAAACGUUCAGGGUCCUUUCUUGCCUUUUUUUGUUAAAGAGAUGGACACCGCACAUUGUCAUUAUCUGGAGCUACCCUGUUGUGCCACAGAAUGCCAGAACUCCUUACACUCCUUACUGGAAUCUAUCUGUAGCUUAGCCUCUUAAUCAACCCUCCCCCAUCCCUGCCCCCUCUCCCCUCCCCAGCCUGGGUAACUGUCACUGCACCCUUGCUUCCCAUGCGAUCAGCUGUUUCAGACUCCAGUAUCAGUGAGACCAUGUGGUGCGCACCCUCUGUGCUUGGCUGGGUCACAUAGCGUGAGGAUCCCAGCACCAUCCGUGUUGUUGCAGAUGGCAGGAUUCAUCCUCUCUGCUGGCUGGGUAGUGCGCCACUGUGUGCUUGUACUGUGUCAUCUUCCCCUUCACUUGUUGGUGGGUGUUUCUGUUAUCUUUAUUUGUCUGCUAGUAGUGCUGAAAUAAACGUGAGUGUACAGAAA